GAUGAACGCUGGCGGCGUGCCUAAUACAUGCAAGUCGAGCGAACAGACGAGGAGCUUGCUCCUCUGACGUUAGCGGCGGACGGGUGAGUAACACGUGGAUAACCUACCUAUAAGACUGGGAUAACUUCGGGACACCGGAGCUAAUACCGGAUAAUAUAUUGAACCGCAUGGUUCAAUAGUGAAAGACGGUUUUGCUGUCACUUAUAGAUGGAUCCGCGCCGCAUUAGCUAGUUGGUAAGGUAACGGCUUACCACGGCGACGAUGCGUGGCCGACCUGAGAGGGUGAUCGGCCACACUGGAACUGAGACGCGGUCCAGACUACUACGGGAGGCAGCAGAAGGGAAUCGUCCGCAAUGGGCGAAAGCCUGACGGAGCAACGCCGCGUGAGUGAUGAAGGUCUUCGGAUCGUAAUACUCUGUUAUUAGGGAAGAACAAAUGUGUAAGUAACUAUGCACGUCUUGACGGUACCUAAUCAGAAAGCCACGGCUAACUACGUG
rnacentral:rRNA from 1 species